GUGCAGUGCAGUGCAGUGCAGUGCAGUGCAGUGCAGUGCAGUACUGCACUGCACCUGCACUGCACUGCAC